rnacentral:misc_RNA from 1 species
AACGCACAUUGCGCCCCUUGGCAUUCCAGGGGGCAUGCCUGUCUGAGCGUCACUUGCACACCUUAAGCUCUGCUUAGUUCUGGGCACCGCCGCCGGCGAGCCCUAAAUCUGGCAGCGGACCACACGGCGCCCUGGCGUAGUCACGCCUCGCCUAGGGCGCCUGCGCGGCCCGCUGUGACUAACUGGUUGACCUCAGAUCAGGCAGGAAUACCCGCUGAACUUAA